rnacentral:rRNA from 1 species
UGGGGAAUAUUGCACAAUGGGGGAAACCCUGAUGCAGCGACGCCGCGUGAGCGAAGAAGGUUUUCGAAUCGUAAAGCUCUGUCCUAUGAGAAGAUAAUGACGGUAUCAUAGGAGGAAGCCCCGGCUAAAUACGUGCCAGCAGCCGCGGUAAUACGUAUGGGGCGAGCGUUGUCCGGAAUUAUUGGGCGUAAAGGGUACGUAGGCGGCCUUUUAAGUCAGGUGUGAAAGCGUGAGGCUUAACCUCAUUAAGCACUUGAAACUGGAAGGCUUGAGUGAAGGAGAGGAAAGUGGAAUUCCUAGUGUAGCGGUGAAAUGCGUAGAUAUUAGGAGGAAUACCGGUGGCGAAGGCGACUUUCUGGACUUUUACUGACGCUCAGGUACGAAAGCGUGGGGAGCAAACAGGAUUAGAUACCCUGGUAGUCCACGCCGUAAACGAUGAUUACUAGGUGUUGGGGGUCGAACCUCAGCGCCCAAGCUAACGCGAUAAGUAAUCCGCCUGGGGAGUACGUACGCAAGUAUG